rnacentral:rRNA from 1 species
AAUAUUUCACAAUGGGCGCAAGCCUGAUACAGCAACGCCGCGUGCCCGAGGACGGNCUNNGGGUUNUNAAGGGCUUUUCUGGCNNNNNGGGAAGGACGGUAGGCCAGGAAUAAGCGUCGGCUAACUACGUGCCAGCAGCCGUGGUAAAACGUAGGACGCGAGCGUUAUCCGGAUUUACUGGGCGUAAAGCGCGGGCAGGCGGUGGUCCAAGUCGGACGUGAAAGCUCCCGGCUCAACUGGGAGAGGUCGUUCGAAACUGGGCCGCUAGAGGGCAGUAGAGGGGCGUGGAAUUCCGGGUGGAGUGGUGAAAUGCGUAGAGAUCCGGAGGAACACCAGAGGCGAAGGCGGCGCCCUGGGCUGCACCUGACGCUGAGCCGCGAAAGCUAGGGGAGCGAACGGG